AAGACAGACACCUCGGAAUGGCAUUUAUGAAUAUGAUAGAGGUCCUUAAAGAGGAAAUGAAUACAUCUCCUAAAGAAAUCUAUGAAAACACAAACCUUAGAAGGAAAUAAAUAAGAGUUCAAGACCCAAAAGUGGAAAUAGAAUGAAUAAAGAGAAGAAAACGGCAUAGUGGAUGCAAGGGGAUCCACGAAGUCCUGGGAGGAGGAGAUUAAACCUCAGAGGAUGCCACCUUAAAAU
rnacentral:lncRNA from 1 species